rnacentral:lncRNA from 1 species
CCUGUUUCCCUUUGCUUCGUGCCAUGCAGUGGCUGCUGGGUUGGGUGGCAGAUGCCUGAGGUGAGCUUCCAGGAUGGAUGGGCAUUCCGUCCGUCCAUCCAUCCAUUAGCCACCCAUCCAUCCACCCGUCCGUCUGUCCAUCCAUCCAUCCAUCCGUCCGUCCGCCCGUCCCCGGGCCGCCUCUCCGCGGAUCAGCCAGCAAGGGGCGCUGGGCGGCGGGUUUGCGGGGCGGCGGGUUUGCGGGCUGCGGAUCACCUGCAGCAGCGGGGGGGCCGGGAGCUCCGCCCUCCCCCCCCCCGCCGUUAAUCGCAUCCCCCUCCCCUUGUGCCAGGCACUGCCACUGAGGCGGCCGAGCCGCUCCGAGCCGUGCCGUGCCGAGCCGCGCCAACCUGCUGCAGGCGGGCGGGCACCCGCACCCCGCUCGCAGCCAGGGCCGGGCUGGGGCUGCCGCCUCCGCCAUCCCCGCACUUGCCCCAGCCCGGUAGGGCGGCCAGCCUUCGGCCGCCUCCUCCUUCUCCUCCUCACCGGGAGCCACCGCCGCCGCCCGGCAGAAAGGCAGAGCGGGGGAGCCAUGGCCGAGGGGGGCGAGGGCGAGGACGAGAUCCAGUUCCUGCGAACUAAUUACAGUUUGACAAUUGGAACCACAUCUAGAACUUGGGAAGCGUGCUUUGUUGUAGUAAGUUCUUAUUCAAAAGUUAUGGCUUGCUAUUAGUAGUUAUAGCCUAGUAAUUUGUUUUACUGG